CGCCCCCUCCCCAGCCUCCCAUCCCCUGGUAAUCGAUGUCCGGCACCGUUCUGCUUUGGGGACAACCCCCAUGACAGUCUUUGUGUUGCAGUUGAUGUCAUCUUGAACACUACACUACAUCAUACACACUGCCUCUCAAAAUGAACGACAUUUUAUGUUUAAGUGCUCUGCUGCCCACCCUGAAGUCUGACACCAGGGUCCUUGGACUUGGGUUAAAACAACAGCAUGUCAAAAACGGAGAAAUAAGUGUGAUUAUUUUUUAAAAAGCAUCAAGACUGCAGUCAAUGGGCCUAAUCUUCCAUCCAUUGGCGCCACUGCUUUCAGAUGGAGCAGGACGUAUGGAAUUUCUGCCCCAGAUUCUGUGGGAACUUGGGGAAAGGCUGCAGGACUUUUUAAAAGGAAAUUAACUCAAAAACAUAUUAAAAACCACUACCUUAUGUUUUAUAAAGAGCUAUUUGUAUCCUAAGGCCUUGAUCUGGCAAAAACUUAAGAACGAGUAGCUUUAUGCAUGUGAUAGUUCCACUGAGUUAAAAGUUAUUCUCUCACAUAAGAAGAACAUUAAAAAGAAAAGUUAUUUCUACUGUGAAUUAAUAAGAAGCAGUUCAAUUUCACUGCUUUUGUUCUGUGCUUGUACAGCACCAGCGUAAUGUCCAUGAUUGCGGCUCUUGAUCUGUGCCUAAUAAAUAAUAUCCUUUUUGUUGUAUCCCAUUCCUUACCCUUUAUCUGUUUAUUUGGACCCCAAUCCAGCACACCACUUAAGCAUGUGCGUACUCCCAUUGAAGUUCAGUUUUUACAAAUAUAACGUCAAGAACCUUUUUUCAAAAAUUAAAUCUUAUUUUAUGUUGAAAACAAUAGGAAUGCUACAAGACAUCACAGACCUUAAAUCCACGUUAGAGCUUUUUUCUGUGGAACUGUACUUAUCUUCUCUGGUGCUCGUGACCUUGGUGUUAUCUUUUGAGCACGCUGCCAGCCACGCAGGAAUCUAACAUUGUGAGCAGCCUAGGUCCAGCUGCAGUAUAAAGCAUGAAGCAACAGUAAUACAUUUCUCAAUAUCAACAAAACAACAGAGGCUGGUGAUGCUUCUGGCGGGAAAGACUCGAUGUUAAAUAAAGUAGGCUCUGAGGACAGAUAUUACUGCACAUAUUUGCUUGAGGGGGGAAGAACUGAAACUGAUCGUCUACUGAUCGUUCUUCAUGAUUUUUUUCAGUUUAAAUUAUCAAGUAAUAUUCAAAAAGAAAUUAUCUUUUUGUAAUACAAGCUGAUAAUAAGAAAUGCAGCAUCACACUGUGUCUUGCUGCCCUAUUUUAUAUUUCACAUUUUUAACCCAGAUCCAAGGACCCUGGUGAACUGUAGUUCAAUUCUGAGAGGCAAUGUGAUCUAGUGCAUGCAGCACUGGACUGGGACUCAGAAGACCUGUGUUCUAUUUCUCACUCUGCCAUUGGACUCCCAGGUGACAUUGGAUGAAAAGGGAUGAAUCUCGCUCUCCCGGGGACCUAAAUAUUGCUCCAAGCAGUAGCCAGAGGCUGACAUAUAACACCUAAAUCAAAUGAGCUGUCUUAGCUUAAAUCCCCAAUGCUACUGCCAGACACUAUAGGAGCUGAAAAUGCUCUUAAUGCAAUGGAGCAGAGGCUAGGCUUGAGUUUCAUCCACAGUGGCUACACCGGGGAAGAUCAUAUAAGCUACCACUCGCACUUCAUGCUGUUUUCAUUGGAAUUAUUGUUUAAAAAAAAUAAGUGUCACAGAAAUAGUUUCACUGACAUUAGAAGGCUUUUUCUGCAAACCCUAAUUUGGGGUAUAAAUUAAGGCCUGCAUCUUGGAAGUGGUUCUCUGGCUGCUUACAUGGAUCCAGCUGUGGGAUCAAGGCGUUUAUUGAAUACAAAGGCCAUUGUUGCUGGAGCUGUGGCACCAAGGUCGGUCUGUCGAGUUCCCUGUGCAUUCAUGCUAGAAAAAACAUCUUCCUCUCCUGAACCUCUAAAACCUCUUUUAGAUUGCAUUCUCUUCAGACUGGACACCCGAGGUGAAUCUGUAGCCAUGAUCUCCUCCAAGGCUAAUCAAUGCCAGUGUCACUUGAGGGAGCGGCUGUGAACAAACACCAGUGGAGAAGGAGCCUCCAGAAUCUGCAUUUUGCGACACAACUGUACAUUGCUAACCCAGUGGAUGCUAGAGCUGAGGUCAAACCUGGCCAGGCUGGCUGGGGAGGGGGGGGGGGGGGCAGCAAAGCAUGUUUCUGCGGGAAUCACUGGGGAAUGGAGAGGGGUGAUUCCAGGUUAAGUGACAAAACAUUCAGAUUCUGGGAGGAUGGGGGGGGGGGUGAAUGUCAAAUCACAGAUCCUGAAUAAUCAGGGUCAGAUCCUCAGCUGGUAUAAAUUGGUGUAGCUUCACUGAUGUGUCAGAGAAGCUAUGCCAGUUUAAGCCAGCUGAGGAUCUGGCCCACAGACUUUACAUGGGUGGAGGGAACGUCAUCCUCAGUAUGCUGAGCAUGGGCCCAUCAGUGUCUGUUCAGUAGGACAGUACAGUUCACAACGUGGCACAGAGCAGUAUCCGGGUAUUACAGCUAGCAUCUCCAACCCAGGGAAGGCACAGCAAUGCCUCCUGGGGUCUUGAACAGCCUAGACUCCUGCCCUCUGCUGACUGGCUAUUGGCUCCAACUCUUUCCUUCCCCCAGUCUCUUCAUCUCAGCCUGACUUCACUCCUGCCUCUCUUACCUUCUUCUCCUCUCCUCUGUCCCCUUCACCCUGCUUCCCUUCCCAUUUAACUGAUCUCCUCCUAACUAACCCUCCCCCCAAAUAAAUUGUGGAAUUAAUAUAGCUUACACUAUUUGUCUACCCCUUCCCCACCCUGGCUGUCUGGUUGAAUUUGAUUGUAAACUUUCCAGGCAGGGACCAUCUACUAUUGUACAGCGCCUAGCACAAUGGGGUCCCAUUCUGCCUCAGGCACUGUCAUAACAAACAUCAUUACUAUUUAUUAUUUAUUAUUAUUAUUAACACCACGCUUGGAAUCGGAGUCUCCUAAACUCCAAGUGCUAUCAACAGAGCAGCAUAACUGAAAUCUUUUCCACCCAAGGAGUACAGAGGUGGGGGAGUGGGGGUGGGGAAAUAACUUGAUAAGAAAUAAAACGUCAGCUUUAGGAAGUUGCCAGAUGUCCCAACAUCUGGCUAUAGACGAAAACGGAUGGAAAUAGAUGCUGUAUAAAAAGAAUACUACUUUGCAUAUGUACAGUGCCUUUCGUCCAAGAAUUUCAAUGUGCUUUACAAACCAAACCUCACAGCUGCUAAUCACUGUCACCAUUUGACAAAUGAAGAAACCAAGGCACAAGAAAGCUAAGUGACUUGUCCAAGGUGACACAUGAAGUCUGAUAGGAACCGGGGGUGGGGGUGGGGGCGGCGAGAGAGAGAAUCCUGGCCCUAUGGAAGUCAAUGGGAACACUCACUGAAUUCAGCAGGGCUGGUAUUUCCUCUGGCUCUCAGGCCUGUGUUUUAAACACAGGACCAUCCUUCCUCCUCUAAUAUUUUCACAAGAUUUAUCUCCCUGAGUGACAGAUCACACAACAGCAACACUGCAUUUUUCGUGCUUGCGACUUUGUUGUGGUUGCUGCAUGGAAAUGGCUUGUAACAAAGACAGGCGACUUUCACAAGUCGCCUGCUUUCCACAGAUUAUAAUAAAACUCAUAAAAAAACAAAACAACUGAACCCACAACAACUCCCAGCACAAAUCAGCACAAGGCAGAGCUUCCUCUUUCUGCAGCCUGGGGAUUAAUUUACUCCAGUGACCUGUGUCAGAUUUGCUCAGAUAAAGAAGCAAGGACACCAGGGUCUUAAAGCAGCAACAUCACUUAACAAGCAAGUCAAAUUAGACUGUAUUUUUUUUAAAAGCGACCUCCCUACUUUAAGUAUCAGAGGGGUAGCCGUGUUAGUCUGCAGCCACGAGGAGUCCGGUGGCACCUUAAAGGCUAACAGAUUUAUUUGGGCAUAAGCUUUCGUGGGUAAAAAACCCACUUCUUCAGAUGCACUCCUUUAGUAUAUAGAUAUAUAUAUUCCUGGCCAUUGCUCCUUUGUUUGGAAAUAGACCUGCCUCACAUGGCCGAGAAGAGGAAAGGGAGGAAGACAAAGCCCGCUCCAUUCAUGGCUUGCCACUGUAGCGGCAAACAGAAGGAAAAAACCACAAACCCUUCAUACAAUUUCCGCCUCCACUGGAGAAAUGCAAAUACCAGCCCUUGCUUCCCCGCACCAGCUGAGAAAGGCAGGAUGCUCCGCCGCCCAUGCAAGCCAGAGAAGCCACGUUUAAAGCAGACGUUCAGUUAUCCUGUGUCCCUCCCUCCCCCCUUCGCCUGUGGGCUCGC